UGGCGUUCUCCACUUAGGCAGCAGCCGUGGUUUCCACUCUAGGUGGCCGUGGGCAGUGAUGAUUUAGGGGUGCUGUCUGUCUAACCCAGGCUGCAGAAAGCUGUAGUUAAAGUUCGUUUCUGGUCGCGACUCUGGAAACCCACCCUCCUCUGAGGGUCAAGAAUCGCCGCUUCCUUCUCGUUCCCGCAAAUUCCUCAUCUGCCCCUGGCUUGUUCCCCGCGCCGCCUCCGGACACCCUCAAGUCCCUGACACCCCUAGACUCAAACUAUGAGCCUUCGGCAGCUGCUUCUGCGCUUGCCACGUUACCUCGCGGCCUCCGGCCCCCCGCGUGGCCCCCUCGACACCAUCUCCUCGGUUGUCUCCUGGCGUGGUCAGUCCUCCAGGUCCCCGGCCCACUGGAACCAAGUGGUGUCAGAGGCGGAGAAGAUCGUGGGCUACCCCACGUCCUUCAUGAGCCUCCGCUGCCUGCUGAGCGACGAGCUCAGCAACAUCGCUCUGCAGGUGCGGAAGCUGGUGGGGACUCAGCACCCUCUGCUUACCACAGCCAGGGGCUUUGUACAUGACAGCCAGAAUAACCUCCAGUUGAGGGGUUUGGUGGUGCUACUUAUUUCUAAGGCAGCUGGGCCCAGCAGUGUGAAUGCUUCAUGUCAGAACUAUAACAUGGUCAGUGGGAUCUACUCAUGUCAAAGAAGUUUGGCAGAGAUCACAGAACUUAUCCAUACUGCUCUCCUUGUACAUCGUGGGAUAGUAAAUUUAAAUGAAUUGCAAUCUUCUGAUGGGGCACUGAAAGACAUGCAAUUUGGAAAUAAAAUAGCUAUCCUGAGUGGAGACUUUCUUCUAGCAAAUGCCUGCAAUGGACUGGCUCUGCUGCAGAACACCAAGGUUGUGGAACUUUUAGCAAGUGCUCUUAUGGAUUUAGUGCAAGGAGUAUACCAUGAAAAUUCCACUUCAGCAAAGGAAAAUUGUAUCACAGAUGAUAUUGGAAUAUCGACUUGGAAGGAACAGACUUUUCUCUCCCAUGGUGCCUUAUUAGCAAAGAGCUGCCAAGCUGCAAUGGAAUUAGCAAAGCAUGAUGCUGAGGUUCAGGAUAUGGCAUUUCAGUAUGGGAAGCACAUGGCCAUGAGUCAUAAGAUAAAUUCUGAUCUCCAGCCUUUUAUUAAAGAAAAGACCAGUGACUCCUUGACUUUUAAUCUAAACUCAGCUCCUGUAGUCUUACAUCAGGAGUUUCUUGGAAGAGAUUUGUGGGUUAAGCAGAUUGGAGAGGCUCAAGAGAAAGGAAGACUAGACUAUGCUAAGUUGCGAGAAACAAUCAAAGCUGGCAAAGGUGUGACUUCAGCUAUUGACCUGUGUCGUUACCAUGGAAACAAGGCACUGGAGGCCCUGGAGAGCUUUCCUCCCUCGGAGGCCAGAACUGCUUUAGAAAACAUUGUGUUUGCUGUGACCAGAUUUUCGUGACACCAAAUUAAAAAGACUAUUGUUCGUUAGCUGAAAAAACUGGGGAAUGAGAUAACAAAGAUGCAAUGUGAAAUUUAGGGAAGAGGGAAGGUGAAUCCCAAAGAGAGGUUAUGAGGGAAUACACAGAACUUAAAUGGCAGACUUCUUGCCAAGCUGCCUCGCAGGUGGUGGCCUCACUGGUGAAGUUUACCAGCCAUACCCCCGCAUGCAGACUUCCCCACCACAUUUCACGUUGCUAACUUGCAGCUUCCACCCUUCCCCACCAGCACCUGUGACCCACUUCCCCUCUUCUCUGACUAACCUUCCUUUUGUGUCUCACACAUCUCUCUCUUAGUCCCACCCCUAGAGAGAUUCUUUUCUAAACUUUUAAAUUAUAUUUCCCCAGGAACUACAAAGCAGUUUCCCGUGCCACUAAGUCAUCUUCUUUUAAAUUUCUCAACUUAGAAAGACUGUUUCUAAAAAACAGUAUCAAUUAGACGUUGGUUAGAUAGUGAGUUAUUUGGCAUUCACUAUUAGUUACUUUGAAAGAAGAUAAGGAUUAUGACUGUCAUUAAACUUUGUUGUGAGUUUUACUUGAUGAUAACACUAAAUUCUCUUCAUGUUUUCUUCCUUAUAUAAUGUGGUAACCUAGUCACACCUAAAAAUCAAUGAUCAGUGACAUUGUGUGCCUGGUCCAGGCCUCAUUCUCUAACGUUUGAGACUUUCUCUUACCUAUGCCAGUGUUGUUGCUAUGACCCAGGAUGCAGGCGAAAGCUACAGACUUGGGGUAAAAGUCAUAUACAUUAGUGCAAAAUGCUCCAAAAAAGAUGUAGACCUUUUUUAAGGCCCAGUACCUGCAACACAACUCAGGUGGCCAGAAAGUAGACUGAAUAAUCUGAGAUGAUCUUUUAAAACCUGACAAGCUGCUGUAAUAUAGGUCUCUUUGGGCCAGUGGGUUUGGGAGAAUUGUGUUUAAUCGACAAAAUUACAGCUAAAGGAUACUUCUUUUUCUUUCUCUCUUUUUUUAAGACUCUUAACUAGGAAUUCCCUGGUGGUCCAGUGGUUAGGACUCGGUGCUUUCACUGCCCUGGCCUGGGUUCAGUCCCUGGUCAGGGAACUAAGAUCCUGUAAGCCACGUGGCAUAGACAAAAACAACAACAACAACAAAACAAAGCAGCAGGUCUGUCACAGAUAAGGAGAACCUUGCUUUUCAGAAAACCCUUUUCACUUCCUGGUUUCAUUCAGGCAGAUUCUUUCCUGCCCCUUCAUUUCUUUUCCCAUUGUGAAAUCCUGUUGUUAAGAUCUCACCUUUCUGACCAACAGAAGUUCCAGGAUUUAUCUCUAGACUCCGUAAUGACUGCCUCUCAAUCUGGAGAAGGCAUGCCACACCUUUGCUGAAACUCAAAAGGGCAGAGAUGGAUUGAGUUGAUUUUUUAAUCUAUUUAACUCUGAGGACACAGUUGUCGCUCCAUUAUUAUUAAUAGUUUCCAUUAUUGUUAAUCAAUUAUUGUCAAUCACCUUUUAGUAAUAAUAAAGCUAUUUGCACUUUUUUUUUUUAAUUUAUUGGCUGCAUUGGGUCUUUGUUGCAGUGCACGGGCUUUCUAUAGUAGUUGCGGAGAG